GUCCCAACGCCCCGCACGGAGCCGCUGCUGGGGCAAAACGCGCCGGGAGCAGGGUGCAGGUCGGGGGGUCCAUGGGGCGCCUCUGCCGGUGCCGUUGUCGGGGUCGAAGCCGGGGUCAAGGUCGGGGUCAAGGUCGGGGACACCGGCGCCACCGCAGCUGCCAGAAGACGUGUUCUUGUUCCCCCAAGCACGCCUGCCCGUCGAUGACGUCACCGAUGACGUCACCGCCGCUCGCCGUGACCACCACCUACAUCAUCUGGCCCCCCCCGGCCAUCACCACCUUGGGGGGGCCCCGCGUGGCCGUAGUUGGGGCCCCCGAGCCCCCAAAAUGCUGCUUUUAGCCCCAAAACGCUGCUUUUAGCCCCAAAACGGCCAUUUUGGGGCUGUUUGGAACCAAAAGAAUGAUCUUUAACCCCAAAAUUCACCUCCCACCCCCAACCCCCCACCCCUUUCCCAAAGGGAAUUUGGCAACAAAGCGACUUGUGCCCCAAAACCACCUUUUCUCACCCCAAAACCACCUUUUUCACCCCCAAAACACCCCAAAUUCGCCCCAAAACACCCAAAUUUGCCCCAAAACGCCCAAAUUCGCCCCCAAACGGGUUAAAAUUUAUCAGCACCAAAACUUGGCUUUGACCCAAAAUUGGAUUUUUUGGGGGUUGGGGCAAAAAAAAUCGAUCCCAGGCCCCAAAAUGACGUUUUUUAACCCAAAACUCGACGUGGGGGGACCUCGAGGGGAGGUUUGCCCUAAAACUGGCCUUUUCACCCCAAAAACGUUGGGAAACCCCAGGAUUUAGCUCUGAAAACGCAUAAAUUUGGCACCAAACCAGCGCUGGACCUAAAAAGGGGCGUUUUCAGCCCAAAAUGGGGGUCGGGGGUGUGGGGGGGGGGGGGUCACCCAUUCGCUUCUCGCCCCCAAAUUCCUCCUUUUUUCGCCUUAAAACUUGGACAUGACGAUGAAAA
rnacentral:lncRNA from 1 species